AGCCCUGCGGGCGGGGCGGGCAGGGGCCGCCCCCGGGGCCGGGCCGGGGAGAAGAGGAGCCGGGACCGGCACCGGGGGAGAAGCAGCGGCGGCGGCAGGAGCAGGAGCAGGGACACGGGCAUGGCCGUGGUGCUGAGGGCAGUGCUGCUGCUGGGGCUGCUGGCGGCCGGGGGGGCGGCGGUGGGAGGCAGCCGGCGGCGGCAGGCGGAGCAAUUCCUGCAGAAGUACGGCUACCUGGGAGCUGCACACCCCAGCCCGCACAGCCCCGUGGAGUUCACGGCGGCGCUGAGGGAUUUCCAGCGGGUGAGCCACCUCCCACCCAGCGGGGUGCUGGAUGCCCCCACGCUGCGGCAGAUGGGCCGCCCACGGUGUGGCACGGGCGAUGGGGAGAGCUGGGGCCACCCCGCCGCACUGCGGCACCGGCGCUCAGCACAGCACGGUGAGCGUCGGCAUCCUGCAGGGCCUGGGCUCGGGGAGUCUGCCUGGAGGGUGGUGGUGGGAAGGGGAGCAAGGACCACUCGUGGGGAAGCUCAGCAAUUCGGGAGGCAGAGCUUGAUGGCUCUGAGGUGCCUCCAGGUCACCCUGACCCCGGUGGCACAGUGCAGAGGAUCAGGACUGACGUGGGGCAAAGGCACACGAGGUCUGACUGCUCCCAGCGGAUUUUCUUGCUCAUGGGUCUCCAGGAUUGGGUCCUCUUGCCUCCUGUGAGCUCUUGUGGAUGAAUAGCCUGAUUCCUAGAGAGCGAGAGGGCUGGGACCAGCUGUGCGUGGGACAUGGGAAAAAUGAGGGUGAGAUUAAGGCAGGGCUCAGCGCCGUGCCAAGCUGCCUCUGCAUCUGGCACAGCUGGUGCUGGGGGACGGACCCAGGGGGACAGACGCAGGGGACAGCCUGGUGCUCCCUGUGCCUCUGGAUUGCCAUCCAAAUCCCUGAUGUAUGGGAUGCGACUGCGGGCAGGGAGACCACAGCAAGUGGGCAGGAGGCAGAGCAGGAGCGGAGCCAGCAGCCCCUGCCCCGAAAGGCUCCUUGACAGGGUGGCAAGAGGCACGGAGCAGCACCACAUCUGUGCCGGCGGGGCGGAGGGGAGGCUGGGGAGCCCGGCGCCGGGCAGGAAGGCUGCAGGCUUUGUGCUAAGCUGCCUGUUUAUCCGACCAGGGGCAGGAAGCCGCCGCGGCUGAGCCAGCAAAGCGCUUUGUGAGCCAGCCCGCUGCCAGCCGCGCCGGGACCCUCGGCCAGGUCACCGGCACCGCCGCCACGCGUCCGGCACCCUGCUGGGCUCGGACACCCCGGUGCUGUAGCAAAAGCCAGGGCUUUGUUCUGGCCGCCUUGCCGGGCUGUGAAAGCCUCCAGAGCUGGCGGGGAGCUGCUGGGAUGGGGCCAAGCGGCGCUGGGCUUCCCGGGGAAGUCCCUGCUUGAUGGUCUGGGGGGGCUGCCCGUGGAGGGACAGGCAGGCAGGACGUCCAGGUGCUGUCUCCAAGC
rnacentral:lncRNA from 1 species